rnacentral:rRNA from 1 species
UAGGGAAUCUUCCACAACUGGGCGCAAGCCUGAUGGAGCAACACCGCGUGAGUGAAGAAGGGUUUCGGCUCGUAAAGCUCUGUUGUUAAAGAAGAACACGUAUGAGAGUAACUGUUCAUACGUUGACGGUAUUUAACCAGAAAGUCACGGCUAACUACGUGCCAGCAGCCGCGGUAAUACGUAGGUGGCAAGCGUUAUCCGGAUUUAUUGGGCGUAAAGAGAGUGCAGGCGGUUUUCUAAGUCUGAUGUGAAAGCCUUCGGCUUAACCGGAGAAGUGCAUCGGAAACUGGAUAACUUGAGUGCAGAAGAGGGUAGUGGAACUCCAUGUGUAGCGGUGGAAUGCGUAGAUAUAUGGAAGAACACCAGUGGCGAAGGCGGCUACCUGGUCUGCAACUGACGCUGAGACUCGAAAGCAUGGGUAGCGAACAGGAUUAGAUACCCUGGUAGUCCAUACCGUAAACGAUGAGUGCUAGGUGUUGGAGGGUUUCCGCCCUUCAGUGCCGGAGCUAAACGCAUUAAGCACUCCGCCUGGGGAGUACGACCGCAUAGGUUG